UCGCCUGUUAACAAAAAUAAUCUUUAAACGUGGGUUUGUGAACUUUGUCUUGCCAGCUGUCGUAUUUGAGUUGAAGGGCCCCGGUAUUUUUACCGAAAAAAGAUGGCAUAGUCGGUAUCUUUUUACGUUCGAUGGGGUAUGAAUGGCUAGCCGUGACAUGGGCUGUCCUUGGUAUCAGAAUAAGUUGCGGAAUUUUGAGUCUAAGUAAAAAUUCUUUUAUGUUAGUAUGGGACGUGAUGACCCUAUAGUAAUUAGCAUUAAUCCAAGACUAUGUGCAAGUUUGUUUCAAAGUAAACAUUGAAACAGUGGCAUGUGUUGUUGGGAUUGUUUGUUUAAAUGUAGGCAUGAAAUUGGAUUUGGUUGUAAUGU
rnacentral:rRNA from 1 species